ACUUUCAACGAAGGAGACAGACAUUUCCCUGGCCUUUCUGAAGAGCGCUUUUUGGAGAGACAAACCUGUUGCUCAGGGGCUGAGCAUUCCCGUGUGUUCUCCCUGUACUUCACCUAAAAAUAUGCCUGUUUUCCACACUGUGCACACCCGGGGGUGGGUGCUGGGCAUACUCCACCUGCUUGUUUGCCUCCCGUUUUCUCAUCAGGGAGUAAACACAGUAAACCUAACGCUCCAGGGGAAGGAAAAAACAAAUCAUUCAGGGCCCAUCUCAGGUGACUGAUGAAUGCGGCACCGUUUUGAACGGGUACCUAAUCUGGUCCAGAUAUGCCUGCUGGGGCUGCAAGAACCAAGACACGUUCAAGCACGUUUGCUCCGGCAAGCUUGGGCGAGCAGGUCAAGACCUCAGAGUUUUAGAAAGCAGGGGCGAAGUUUUCAAGCACGAUGGGAACACCUGUAGGUGCAGGUGCCUGAGGGUCGGCCGACCACCUCGCAUCUGAGGCUGGAUCCGCACACGGAGAACGACAACUGCUCACAGGGACGUGCGUCCGGAGGAAAGUUGCGAAUGAGGGAGGAGAAGGAGCCAGUCUGGAAGGGAGGCUGACAAGUUUCAUUUUUAAAAAUUGAUCUGCACUUGGAUAUCUCUGGAGAUGCCAGUAAGGUUGUUGGGUACAGAGGUCUGCAGCUCAGAGACCAGCAGGCAUCCUGAACAAGACAGAUCCAGGCAGACGGAAUGGCCUGUAGGAGAACUUGGCAGAGGGCACAACCAAGAAGAGUUCAAAGGCGCUGGCCAGUUCCAUGCGACUGCAUGGGGUCAUGGGAGAAGAGAUACACUUAAACCAGGGUCCCACAGGCUCAAUGGGUCUCCUUCCAAAAUCAGCUUCCAAUGAGCCCUCAGAUUCUCCAAAUACUGGGCAGCUGGAUUUCCCAGACACCUUCUGCAAUCUGCUGACAUCUAAUAUACCUGUAGACUGUUCUCCUGCUGACAAGGUUGUUCUUGCUCUUAUCCUAUAAAGAAGAGAGGUGGCAGAGAGUUGGAGGGGAGGGCCUCCUUCCCUGGCAUGUCCAUCCGAGGGUCUCCAAGAACAUCCUGGCUGUGGCCCACACCUUUCUGUGUGGUUAGGAGGAGUAUCGGAUGCCUUCUCUUUCCAACCUUGGCUUGUGUGAAGAUGGUGUUAUGGUGAUGUAAGAGGACGGCUCUAUUCUGAGUGAUGCAAGAUCCAACAUUUAGGCAUGAAAUGCCAUGAUGACAGCCGCCUACUUUAGCAAAAGGGAAGUUGUGUGUGUGUGUGUGUGUGUGUGUGUGUGUGUGUGUGUGUGUGUGUUUUUACGCGUAUGCAUAUAAAUAGAGGAAGUCGCUGCAGCUAGAUGGUGAAUCUACGUGAGGAGUAUCUGGCUGUUCCUUGUACUGUUCUUUCAACUUUCUGUGGGUUUGAAAAUUUUCAAAACAAGACAAAAAAUGUUUUUCAAGCACUGUUUGAGAGGAUAGGAAAUAGAAAUGGCUCUUAUUAAAGAGCCAUUCAGAAGACUGUUUUCUUCUAUUUCCUUUUCCCCCACGACUAUGACCCUCAGUGCCAGCGAUUUCUCCUUUCCAUAAACUUUUGUUUGACCUUAAAUCAUUGUGACACCACUGAGCAGGGAAUCUCAAUAAUGGCUGACAUAUCUGGUAGCAAAAGG
ensembl:lncRNA RETREG1-AS1 RETREG1 antisense RNA 1